CAGUGAGAGUGAGGUUUGGUAUUUGCAGUCUGUACAGUGAGAGUGAGGUUUGGUAUUUACAGUCUGUACAGUGAGAGUGAGGUUUGGUAUUUGCAGUCUGUACAGUGAGAGUAAGGUUUGGUAUUUGCAGUCUGUACAGUGAGAGUGAGG